GGGUUCUUGUGUAAAUUUAAGGCGUUCUAUUGUGAUAAUUAGAAUUUAUUAAAAAUCUGCCAAAGGGUAGAAAAACCAUUUAUUUUUAAAGCUUGCAAGAAUAUCGCCAAAAUGAAAGAAAAGUUUGACUGAAGUGAAGAGUUUUCUUAUGCAUGUUUUCAGCUAGAUAUGUAUUUUGAUAUAUAUGCUUGAAACCUAAGAAUUUA
rnacentral:misc_RNA from 1 species